rnacentral:rRNA from 1 species
UGAGUAAUGUCUGGGAAACUGCCUGAUGGAGGGGGAUAACUACUGGAAACGGUAGCUAAUACCGCAUAACGUCGCAAGACCAAAGAGGGGGACCUUCGGGCCUCUUGCCAUCAGAUGUGCCCAGAUGGGAUUAGCUAGUAGGUGGGGUAAUGGCUCACUUAGGCGACGAUCCCUAGCUGGUCUGAGAGGAUGACCAGCCACACUGGAACUGAGACACGGUCCAGACUCCUACGGGAGGCAGCAGUGGGGAAUAUUGCACAAUGGGCGCAAGCCUGAUGCAGCCAUGCCGCGUGUGUGAAGAAGGCCUUCGGGUUGUAAAGCACUUUCAGCGAGGAGGAAGGUGGUGAGCUUAAUACGCUCAUCAAUUGACGUUACUCGCAGAAGAAGCACCGGCUAACUCCGUGCCAGCAGCCGCGGUAAUACGGAGGGUGCAAGCGUUAAUCGGAAUUACUGGGCGUAAAGCGCACGCAGGCGGUUUGUUAAAGUCAGAUGUGAAAUCCCCGGG